AUUCCAAAAUACAGUUUAACCGCGACCCAUUCCUCGAAAUCAAUCGGACGACCUCGCUACAGUUCGCAUCUCGCCUCUGGGGCGGCGGCUGCGCGACCCCGAGGGGAUCUCGCCUCAGCGACGGUCCCACCUAAGGUGAGCUCCUCUGAUCUCCUUCCUCCUCUCUGAGGUGAGAUCCUGUCUCCUCCCUCCUCUCUCCUUGCUUGCCUACAACACCCCCACCACGGCGCCAUCGUACCGCUUUGCAGCUCCAAUCUUCGCACGCUCCAGUGAGAGGAGCCCACUGGACUGCCAGCUCAGUACCCUCCUAAGGCGACGUUGUCGCACACGCCGUCAUUAGGUGACACUCGUCCUUGUGCCACCACCCACAGGCCAUAGCCUUCGGCUUCUGAUCUGGAGUUAAGGAUUCCCACGGCAGCCGAACCCAACACAGACCGUCCCAACGUAGCCGAACCCACGACAACCAUAAUAAUGCAAAUGCAUCGAGUUAGGUUGUCAAGCGGCAUGUCGGCCGCUCACCAUGACUUGGGUGGGUGCGUGGGAAGAACAGGCUAAUUCUUUUCUUUUUCCAGCAAACAAACACUUUCAAUUGGCUGAUGGAUGAACUCUUGUUUGCUUGUCCUCUCCCUCUAACUUACAUCUGCCUAGCUAGCUUUAAGUUAGGGAGUAAACAACUCGGGGAUGGAAAUUGUGCUACACCAGAGUCCAGUUAGCUCUUUCGGGCCUGUCUAUUUAAACGCAGGCUCUACGCCUUAGAGGAGUUGUGGAUAAAAUCUUACAUGAAUCACUUGUUCCACAUAAAAAUCAGACGUCCACCCCUUGCAACUUGCAUAUUUACAUGAUAAUCUUUCAAAGCAGCCCGUUCUUACAUGAUAAUAUUGUUAGAUAACUUGUAUUGUUAGAUUAACCUAUAUUGUUAGAUAACCUGCAUUACUAGAUAACCUGUAUCGUUCACCAAGAUUGAUGCUUGUUAGAUAACCUGUAUUGGCAUAGAUGUGGAUUAAUUAGGACCAACACAAAAUCUGUAUUUGCAGCUACAACAAAGAAUCAAGCUCCGGACUGUUCCAGCAAAUAACUUGAUUCUACAUGUUUAGUCUGUAUUGGCAGAUAACUUGAUUCCACAACAAAUUUGUACUCAUGUAUCUGUUACGGUUUGAGCUUCCAUAGUUAAAUGAAAUAUGUGUGUUUGAUGG
rnacentral:lncRNA from 7 species